GCAAGCCCAGCUUCAGACGCGAUCGUUAGGCAAGGGUAAUUUCAGUGUAGGAAAGGAUGAAACAGCGUCUGUGCCACCAGACCUGAGCCCUAGGACCAUGCCUCAGGACUACCUGGUAUGAUGACUCCUUGCUGUCCCCAGUCCACCUGGCCGUGCUGCUGCUCCAGUUUCAACUGUUCUGCCUGCGGCUAUGGAACCCUGACCUGUUCACCGGACGUGCUUGUUGCACCCUCGACAACUACUAUGAUUAUUAUUAUUUGACCAUGCUGGUCAUUUAUGAACAUUUUAACAUUUUAACAUUUUGACCAUGUUCUGUUAUAAUAUCCACCCUGCACAGCCAGAAGAGGACUGGCCACCCCUCAUAGCCUGGUUCCUCUCUAGGUUUCUUCCUAGGUUUUUGGCCUUUCUAGGGAGUUUUUCCUAGGGAGUUUUUCCUAGCCACCGUGCUUCUUUCACAUGCUUUGCUUGCUGUUUGGGGUUUUAGGCUGGGUUUCUGUACAGCACUUUGAGAAUAUCAGCUGAUGUACGAAGGGCUAUAUAAAAAUAAAUUUGAUUUGAAUUUGAUGAUUAAGCCAAUUGGUGUAUGGAUGAUUCAUAGAAUUCUACGACGUUUGAAAUGAGACUUACGUACGGUAAAGAAUAAUUAAUUAAUAGAAGACUAAUUGAUCAGAUAUUAAACACAUUUGUUUACAUCCCUGUUAGUGAACAUUUCUCCUUUACAAGUUAAUUCAUCCACCUGAGAGGUGUAGCAUAUCAAGAAGCUGAUUAAAAAUCAUGAUCAUUACACCGGUGCACCUUGUGUCGGGAACAAUAAAAGGCCACAUUAAAAUGUGCGGUUUUGUCACACAAAACAAUGCCACAGAUGUCUCAAGUUUUGUGGGGGAGUGCAAUUGUCAUAUCGGACUGUUAGCUAAUAGGUCCAUCGGCCAAUUUCUCGUGCCGCUAUUCCUAUUUUGCCAAUCGGCGUGGGCCCCUUUUACUACACAAAGCCCUGCUUAUCCAUCACGACUGGAUUACCGACGUAAUCUGCCCAAGGGUUUUUCUCCAACAUGCCCCUCCGUCGCAACCGUCGCAACGUCCCCUGAAUGCCCAUCUGCUAGUCUGCUAGCCGCGGCCCACUUGUCAGUACAUUAUGCCUUGAAUCUAUUCUAUCGCGUCCAGAAACCUGCUCCUUUUACUCUCUGUUCCAAAAGUACAAGACAACCAGUUCUUAUAGCCUUUAACUGUACCCUUAACCUACUCCUCCUCUGUUCCUCUGGUGAUGUAGAAGUUAAUCCAGGACCUGCAGCUCCUAGUUCCAUUCCUAUUCCUUAGGUGCUCUCAUUUGUUGACUUGUGUAACCGUAAAAGCCUUGGUUUCAUGCAGGUUAACAUUAGAAGCCUCCUCCCUAAGUUUGUUUUAUUAACUGCUUUAAAACACUCUGCCAACCCAGAUGUCUUAGCCGUGUCUGAAUCCUGGCUUAGAAAAAUUUCCAUCCCUAACUAUAACAUUUGCCGCCAAGAUAGAACAACCAAAGGGGGCGGAGUUGCAAUCUACUGCAGAGAUAGCCUGCAGAGUUCUGUCUUACUAUCCAGGUCUGUACCCAAACAAUUCGACCUUUCCAGAAACAAGUCUCUUACCGUUGCCGCUUGCUAUAGACCACCCUUUGCCCCCAGCUGUAACCUGGACACCAUAUGUGAAUUGAUUUCCCAUCUAUCUUCAGAGCUCGUGCUGCUAGGUGACCUAAACUGGGACAUGCUUAACACCCCGGCCAUCCUACAAUCUAAGCUUGAUGCCCUCAAUCUCACACAAAUUAUCAAUGAACCUCCCAGGUACAACCCCAAAUCCGUAAACAUGGGCACCCUCAUAGAUAUCAUCCUAACCAACCUGCGCUCCAAAUACACCUCUGCUGUUUUCAACCAAGAUCUCAGCGAUCACUGCCUCAUUGCCUGCAUCCGUAAUGGGUCUGCGGUCAAACGACCACACCUCAUCACUUUCAAACACUCCCUAAAACACUUCAGCGAGCCGGCCUUUCUAAUCAACCUGGGUAUCCUAGAAUGAUAUUGACCUCAUCCCGUCAGUAUAGGAUGCCUGGUUAUUCUUUAAAAGUGCCUUCGUCACCAUCUUAAAUAAGCAUGCUCCAUUCAAAAAAUGUAGAACCAGGAACAGAUAUAGCCCUUGGUUCACUCCAGACCUGACUGCCCUUGACCAGCACAAAAACUUCCUGUGGCAUACUGCAUUAGCAUCGAAUAGCCCCUGUGAUAUGCAACUUUUCAGGGAAGUUAGGAACCAAUAAUACACAAGCAGCUAGGAAAGCUAAGGCUAGCUUUUUCAAACAGAACUUUUCAUCCUGUAGCACAAACUCAAAAAAGUUCUGGGACACUGUAAAGUCCAUGGAGAAUAAGAGCACCUCCUCCCAGCUGCCCACUGCACUGAGGCUAGGAAACACUGUCACCACCGACAAAUCCACAAUAAUUGAGAAUUUCAAUAAGCAUUUUUCUACGGCUGGCCACACCCCCCACAGCAACUCACCCAAUCCUCCCCCACUUCUCCCUCAUCCAAAUCCAGAUAGCUGAUGUUCUGAAAGAGCUGCAAAAUCUGGACCCCUACAAAUCAGCCGGGCUAGACAAUCUGGACCCUCUCUUUUGAAAAUGAUCUGCUGAAAUUGUUGCAACCCCUAUUACUAGCCUGUUCAACCACUCAUUCGUAUCGUCUGAGAUUCCCAAAGAUUGGAAAGCUGCCGUGAUCAUCCCCCUCUUCAAAGGAGGAGACACCCAAACUGCUACAGACCUAAAUCUAUUCUACCCUGCCUUUCUAAGGUCUUCGAAAGCCAAGUUAACAAACAGAUUACCGACCAUUUCGAAUCCCACCGUGCCUUCUGCGCUAUGCAAUCUGGUUUCAGAGCUAGUCAUAGGUGAACCUCAGCCAUGCUCAAGGUCCUAAAUGAUAUCAUAACCGCCAUCGAUAAGAGACAUUGCUGUGCAGCCGUAUUCAUCGACCUGGCCAAGGCUUUCGACUCUGUCAAUCACCACAUUCUUAUCGGCAGACUAAACAGCCUUGGUUUUUAAAAUGACUGCCUCGCCUGGUUCACCAACUACUUCUCUGAUAGAGUUCAGUGUUUCAAAUCGGAGGGCCUGUUGUCUGGACAUCUAGCAGUCUCUAUGGGGGUGCCACAGGGUUCAAUUCUCGGGCCGACUCUCUUCUCUGUACACAUCAAUGAUGUCGCUCUUGCUUUUGGUGAUUCUUUGAUCCUCCUCUACGCAGACGACACCAUUCUGUAUACUUCUGGCCCUUCUUUGGACACUGUGUUAACUAACCUCCAGACGAGCUUCAAUGCUAUACAACUCUCCUUCCGUUGCCUCCAACUGCUCUUAAAUGCAAAUAAAACUAAAUGCAUGCUCUUCAACCGAUCGCUGCCCGCACCUGCCCGCCCAUCCAGCAUCACUACUCUGGACGGUUCUGACUUAGAAUAUGUGGACAACUACAAAUACCUAGGCGUCUGGUUAGACUGUAAACUCUCCUUCCAGACUCACAUUAAGCAUCUCCAAUCCAAAAUUAAAUCUAGAGUCGGCUUCCUAUUUCGCAACAAAGCAUCCUUCACCCCAUAUACUACCUACCAUUGCGACCUGUACGCUCUCGUUGGCUGGCCCUCGCUUCAUACUCGUCGCCAAACCCACUUGCUCCAGGUCAUCUACAGGUCUCUGCUAGGUAAAGCCCCGCCUUAUCUCAGCUCAGCUCAGCUCACCAUAGCAGCACCUACCCGUAGCACGCGCUCCAGCAGGUAUAUCUCACUAGUCACCCCCAAAGCCAAUUCCUCUAUUGGCCGCCUUUCCUUCCAGUUCUCUGCUGCCAAUGACUGGAACGAACUGCAAAAAUCACUGAUGCUGGAGACUCUUAUCUCCCUCCCUAGCUUUAUGCACCAGCUGUCAGAGCAGCUCACAGAUCACUGCACCUGUACAUAGCCCAUCUGUAAUGUAGCCCAUCCAACUACCUCAUCACCAUACAGUAUUUAUUUAUCUUGCUCCUUUGCACCCCAGUAUCUCUACUUGCACAUUCAUCUUCUGCACAUCAAUGACUCCAGUGUUAAAAUGGUAUAUUGUAAUUACUUCGCCACCAUGGCCUAUUUAUUGCCUUACCUCCCUUCUCUUACCUCAUUUGCACACACUGUAUAUAUAUUUUUUCCCCUGUAUUAUUGACUGUAUUUUUGUUUAUUCCAUGUGUAACUCUGUGUUAUUGUAUGUGUCGAACUGCUUUGCUUUAUUCUUGUCCAGGUUGCAGUUGUAAAUGAGAACUUGUUCUCAACUAGCCUACCUGCUUAUAUCAAGAUGAAAUAAAAAUGUGGCUGAGAGCCUCAAGUUGCU
rnacentral:lncRNA from 1 species